rnacentral:rRNA from 1 species
GUGGGGAAUCUUGCGCAAUGGGCGAAAGCCUGACGCAGCCAUGCCGCGUGAAUGAUGAAGGUCUUAGGAUUGUAAAAUUCUUUCACCGGGGACGAUAAUGACGGUACCCGGAGAAGAAGCCCCGGCUAACUUCGUGCCAGCAGCCGCGGUAAUACGAAGGGGGCUAGCGUUGCUCGAAAUUACUGGGCGUAAAGGGCGCGUAGGCGGACAGUUUAGUCAGAGGUGAAAGCCCAGGGCUCAACCUUGGAAUUGCCUUUGAUACUGGCUGUCUUGAGUACGGGAGAGGUGAGUGGAACUCCGAGUGUAGAGGUGAAAUUCGUAGAUAUUCGGAAGAACACCAGUGGCGAAGGCGACUCACUGGCCCGUUACUGACGCUGAGGCGCGAAAGCGUGGGGAGCAAACAGGAUUAGAUACCCGAGUAGUCC